rnacentral:rRNA from 1 species
GAUAAACGCUGGCGGCGUGCCUAAUACAUGCAAGUCGAGCGAACAGACGAGGAGCUUGCUCCUCUGACGUUAGCGGCGGACGGGUGAGUAACACGUGGAUAACCUACCUAUAAGACUGGGAUAACUUCGGGAAACCGGAGCUAAUACCGGAUAAUAUAUUGAACCGCAUGGUUCAAUAGUGAAAGACGGUUUUGCUGUCACUUAUAGAUGGAUCCGCGCCGCAUUAGCUAGUUGGUAAGGUAACGGCUUACCAAGGCAACGAUGCGUAGCCGACCUGAGAGGGUGAUCGGCCACACUGGAACUGAGACACGGUCCAGACUCCUACGGGAGGCAGCAGUAGGGAAUCUUCCGCAAUGGGCGAAAGCCUGACGGAGCAACGCCGCGUGAGUGAUGAAGGUCUUCGGAUCGUAAAACUCUGUUAUUAGGGAAGUACAAAUGUGUAAGUAACUAUGCACGUCUUGACGGUACCUAAUCAGAAAGCCACGGCUAACUCCGUG